CAGGCUUAACACAUGCAAGUCGAGGGGCAGCAUGGUCUUAUCUUGCUAAGGCCGAUGGCGACCGGCGCACGGGUGAGUAACACGUAUCCAACCUGCCGUCUACUCUUGGACAGCCUUCUGAAAGGAAGAUUAAUACAAGAUGGCAUCAUGAGUCCGCAUGUUCACAUGAUUAAAGGUAUUCCGGUAGACGAUGGGGAUGCGUUCCAUUAGAUAGUAGGCGGGGUAACGGCCCACCUAGUCUUCGAUGGAUAGGGGUUCUGAGAGGAAGGUCCCCCACAUUGGAACUGAGACACGGUCCAAACUCCUACGGGAGGCAGCAGUGAGGAAUAUUGGUCAAUGGGCGAGAGCCUGAACCAGCCAAGUAGCGUGAAGGAUGACUGCCCUAUGGGUUGUAAACUUCUUUUAUAAAGGAAUAAAGUCGGGUAUGCAUACCCGUUUGCAUGUACUUUAUGAAUAAGGAUCGGCUAACUCCGUGCCAGCAGCCGCGGUAAUACGGAGGAUCCGAGCGUUAUCCGGAUUUAUUGGGUUUAAAGGGAGCGUAGAUGGAUGUUUAAGUCAGUUGUGAAAGUUUGCGGCUCAACCGUAAAAUUGCAGUUGAUACUGGAUAUCUUGAGUGCAGUUGAGGCAGGCGGAAUUCGUGGUGUAGCGGUGAAAUGCUUAGAUAUCACGAAGAACUCCGAUUGCGAAGGCAGCCUGCUAAGCUGCAACUGACAUUGAGGCUCGAAAGUGUGGGUAUCAAACAGGAUUAGAUACCCUGGUAGUCCACACGGUAAACGAUGAAUACUCGCUGUUUGCGAUAUACAGCAAGCGGCCAAGCGAAAGCGUUAAGUAUUCCACCUGGGGAGUACGCCGGCAACGGUGAAACUCAAAGGAAUUGACGGGGGCCCGCACAAGCGGAGGAACAUGUGGUUUAAUUCGAUGAUACGCGAGGAACCUUACCCGGGCUUAAAUUGCAGAUGAAUUACGGUGAAAGCCGUAAGCCGCAAGGCAUCUGUGAAGGUGCUGCAUGGUUGUCGUCAGCUCGUGCCGUGAGGUGUCGGCUUAAGUGCCAUAACGAGCGCAACCCUUGUUGUCAGUUACUAACAGGUUCCGCUGAGGACUCUGACAAGACUGCCAUCGUAAGAUGUGAGGAAGGUGGGGAUGACGACAAAUCAGCACGGCCCUUACGUCCGGGGCUACACACGUGUUACAAUGGGGGGUACAGAGGGCCGCUACCACGCGAGUGGAUGCCAAUCCCAAAAACCUCUCUCAGUUCGGACUGGAGUCUGCAACCCGACUCCACGAAGCUGGAUUCGCUAGUAAUCGCGCAUCAGCCACGGCGCGGUGAAUACGUUCCCGGGCCUUGCACACAGCGCCCGUC
rnacentral:rRNA from 1 species